UAUCAUGACACCGAGGAAGGGGAAGAGGAUCCUGGCAAGGAGUGUUAGCCACAACUGGUACAAAUUGAUGAUUGGGCAGGAGAGGUUGGGGACUUAGGAGGUACUCACAGGACAGUAGUAGGGGAUGUUCAAGGGGCAGCUGACAGUCCAUGGGAGCCAGGGGAAAAGGACACAUCAUUAGAACCAGAGGUACUUCCAUCUCUAUGGACACAGUGGGCUGUGAGGCGUCAGGAACAGUGGGAAACACACUCUAGAAGACUGAGGCAGGCAAGGGAACACAGCCCAGCUCACUAAUUGACCAGGUGGACACCAUGAGGCUUGUUCUGGGAGGUGGUUUGUGGGCACUCAGAUGACUCUAGGCUUUCCUACCUUGGUUCUCUUGCCAAGGUGGGAACCUGGAUUUACUGUUUGACUCUGGACUUUGCUUGUUGUAUUGGACUGGGACCAGUAUUUGACGUUUUGGACUAUCUAGCAUUGCUCUGGAGAUUGUUUGCACCAGUGCAAUGUACUUCCAGUUAUGUGGACACUCCUCACCCAUUCACCCAUGUCCUUUUUCCUCCCCCUUUCAGUCACAUUUUAUCCUAUCUUCAUUUUUUAUCCUUUCUUGGUCCACACUAUAUCCUCCUUGGUCCACUUGUACUUCACAAGUGUUCAUCGUUGUCAAAUGAAAUCAGUUUUAAAUUUCAGGAUAGAACAUCAGGGCUCCUUUAUUAUUAGACCUUUUGCUAAAUGCCUGUGACUUGGAUUCUACCUGGUUAAACCAGCUGUGCCAAGUUAUUACUUCUUUAUCAAUGGUGAAUGCUUGAUCUGAAGGCGCUCCAGGAUCUAUCCUUCCGACUCUGACUCUAUGAAGGGAUUGAUUGGAGAAUAUAAUCCAAUUGAUAAUAUCCAAGCUGGAUGCUACCUCCCCAUUCUUGUUGAAGGAUACCACAUCUCCUGCAGUGUUAUUAAAUGAGAUACUUCUCAGAAUGUGGUGGAGCUAAAUUGAAAACAGAAAAGACAAGUAUUUAGAAAAGGCUGCACUCUAAUACAGGGCUGAGCAAUCCUUUUUCCUCUGAGGUCAGAACCUACAGUGAGUGGAGUCAGGGACAAGCAUGUAGAGAGCCAACCCAUUUUCUCCCACAUAAAUGUUUUUCUCUCAUUCUUUCUGUCAGGCCUCUCUCUCCCUGUUACAUCCCUCAGGCAGAACAGUGGUGUGUGACCCCUGCUCUGACGAAAAAUUUGCAGGCUGUCAAGGGUGUUUCACAGCCAAAGGAAUGCACAUGACAGAUAAUUAUUUAUUGUCAAGAAUACCACAUUUGCUUCUACUCCUCUGGAUGCCUAUACAUAUAUAGCAGCUACACAGCUACACAGCUAUUCACAGGUUUGCUGUAACAACUGGAAUAGCAAGAAUGCUGCUCAUCUCUGUUGACUGUUUUCACUGCUUCCUGACUGUUAGUCAAAUGGUGUCUCAAUGGGCCACAAAACAUCUCCAAGGAAAUGCUUAUCAUGUACAGGGGGGUUUCUGCUCAAACAAGGAGACAGCCAUCAUUGCUCUUUCCUCAGAGAAACAAAGACACAGCCAUCAUCUGUCCACAAAAUUAUAGAUUCAGUUCCUCCUCAAAUUCCAUAUGCCUGAACCCUGAGAGGAAAGAGCAAGUUGACAGUAUUUUGGAAACCCAUACAUUGUGAAGCAAUAAAGGUGCUCUUCCAUGUUGAGGAUGUUCAACCCGUUACCUGCCCAAACAGUUGAUUCUGAUUCUUUACUCUCCCUCCAUAUGCCAUUCCUAUGUGUCUGGGUCUGGAUGUGGACAUAGCAUGUAACGCAUGGGCGAUGGCAUAGACAGCACUGUGGAUACUGUAACUGUGCCCUGUCAUACUCAUUUCAAAAAAUGAUCCUGGAAGGUUCUCUAGCUUCUCUUCUCCUGUGCAAAUGUUCCCAUCCACCUGGUCUGCAGUGAUAUCUGGGAAUACACAAUCAAAAGCCUGUUGCCAGAAGUCCCUGAUAAAACCAUCCCCAUCUGUGUUGGAAGGGUUUCUGUGCUCAACAUACUGAUGAAAUCCUGGUGGGUCACUGAAGUGAAUUUCAAAGGCUAUAGCACCAUUGAAUAGUCCCGAAUCCCAGUUUCUUUGAUAGACAAAUGAAGUGAAUUCAAUCUCAGCUGUUGUUAUCCAAACUUUACUUUUUACAUUAUUUGUCAUAUCGUGUUCUGAUAGGUAUGGAAGCCAUUUUAAAAAUGCCAUGGCGUAAGAUUCUCCAUAACUCACCACUACAUUAGCCUUGCUGCUCAUUAUUUUAUCAUGUAUUUUUGCCCCCUGUUGUAACAUGUCAUUAAUUUCAGGGAUAAAACUAAAAUUGGGAAUUCUUUCUAUGAAGGCAAAACAGAUGCCAUUUUGAGAAAACAAUUGAAGUACUGUAUGCACAAAUCUUUCCCCAUUGUCAUUGUCCACUGCAAUGACCCCAAUCCAUGUCCACUUGAAAUGCAGAAGCAAAGAGAUAAUUCCCUCAUAUUGAAGGUCUUCCUGGGCUGUCAACUGGUAGAAGGAAAGCCCUGGGGUUUUAUCAUUCAUCACUGGAGCAGAGCCAUAAAUGAGCUAAAGAGGGAAUGGAGGAAGGGACGAGACAAAUAUAAUUUCCAGAGUUAUUUCAAACUAUUUAUGUACAUUAUAUGAUGAAUUCUGUUGGCUGCAUGCUGUCUUUCAUUUAGACAAAAUAGACACAUUCAUAUGAGCUGAAAACUGGGAUAAUUUCCCAUUCCUGCUUGUUAAAUAUUUGAUCUGAUGAGUGGGGGCAGGCACUGUGUCUAUUAUUUAUUUAUUUAUUUUUAAAGAUUUUUGUGUGUAUGUCAUUGCUGACUUUGGUAGGUCUUGUGGGUUGAAUAAAAUUGAUGGGAGGGGCACAUCAUGCCCCAAUAAGAGGAUUAGCUACCUGUGCAUUAGAUAUUAUUUAGCUAUGUCAGAACUGUAAGUUCCGAAUUUAUUUUUCUAGAGCUUUUUUCCCCCUUAUUCAUGAUGCACAGACCCCAGCCCAGAGCAAAACUGAGAUUUCUGCCUCCUUUUUACAUGAUUCCUCGCACUUCUUUUAUGAAACCACAUUUCAAUUGUGAACCAGCUGUUCACUGCUAUUACUCCUUUCCAGCAAAGCUUGAUUGUUUCUGCUACUUAACAUAACUUCAUUAUGUGUUUAAUCUUCCCCAAACCCAUUACUUUUGGGGGGUGGUGUGGUGAGGAGGGAGAAGGAUUUUAGUGCCAGUUACCUGAAAGUUUCCCCCUCCCACUGAAUGCACAUUCCUUCUUCACUAAGUAGAAAAUCCUGCAUACCCAAACAUAGCUGGUCCAUUAUCCCACCAGUGGACCUUGGGAUAUCAGUCUCCUGGAAAGGGGAGGGGGUUGAAAUAGAGAAUGAAUUAUUCUCCCCUCCCGUGCAAAUUUACUGCAAAGCACUGUUGUCAUUAAAGUGCAUAGUAGAAAUGAAGAGGUGGAUACUUAGAUUGCAAAGAGGUAUUGCCCAUAAGUGCCAUACCUGUGGAAUCUUAUAGAUAUCCAAAAUGGUUGCCACAUAAAAGGAGAUUUCAGAGUCGAGUCCCCCAAUAACCCCUGUUAGAUUAUUUUCAGUAUCACAUACAUAGUUGGGGACACAUUUCUCCAGUUUGGAUAAAAGUAUCAGUGUGGCAAGAUACGUCUUUCUUGCAUUAGUAUAGCUGUCAUAGAUGUGGAAGCCCAAGGUGAUAUUGGGUAAAAUGUGGGAGCAUCCAUUAAUCUCCUUGACUGCAAAUGCCAAUGCCAGGAUGUGCUGGUAAGCCUUGGGCACCACCCUAGAAUGAGAGUUGCAGAUUGUUUCAGAAGCAUCUUCAACACUUGGAACAUUAAAUAUGUACUCAGAAGUUAAUCAUAUUGAAUUCAGUUAAGUCUACUACUGCGCUACUAGACUACUAGUAUGCUAAAAAUUCUACAAGGAAGGCUCAAGUAGUAUGUGGACCGAGAACUCCCAGAAGUGCAAGCUGGAUUUCGAAGGGGCAGAGGAACCAGAGACCAAAUUGCAAACAUGCACUGGAUUAUGGAGAAAGCUAGAGAGUUCCAGAAAGACAUCUACUUCUGCUUCAUUGACUACGCAAAAGCCUUUGACUGUGUCGACUACAGCAAACUAUGGCAAGUUCUUAAAGAAAUGGGAGUGCCUGAACACCUCAUCUGUCUCCUGAGAAAUCUCUAUGUGGGACAAGAAGCUACAGUUAGAACUGGAUAUGGAACAACUGAUUGGUUCAACAUUGGGAAAGGAGUACGACAAGGUUGUAUAUUGUCUCCCUGCUUAUUUAACUUAUGUGCAGAAUUCAUCAUGCGAAAGGCUGGGCUGGAUGAAUCCCUAGCCGGAAUUAAGAUUGGCGGAAGAAAUAUCAACAACCUCAGAUAUGCAGAUGACACAACCUUGAUGGCAGAAAGUGAGGAGGAAUUAAAGAACCUUUUAUUGAGGGUGAAAGAGGAGAGUGCAAAAUAUGGUCUGAAGCUCAACAUC